GAAAUGCGAUAAGUAAUGUGAAUUGCAGAAUUCAGUGAAUCAUCGAAUCUUUGAACGCACCUUGCGCUCCUUGGUAUUCCGAGGAGCAUGCCUGUUUGAGUGUCAUUAAUAUAUAUAUAUCAACCCUCUUCUCUUGUUGAGUGGCUUGGAUGUGGGGGGUUUGCUGGCCUUGUUUUCAGCUCCCCUGAAAUACAUUAGCAGAACAAACCCCUGUUCAUUGGCGUGAUAAAACUAUCUACGCUAUUGAACGCAAGGGGGCAGUUCAGCUUUCUAAUGGUCCUUUGGACAAUUUACCAUUGAUGUGACCUCAAAUCAGGUAGGACUACCCGCUGAACUUAA
rnacentral:misc_RNA from 1 species